rnacentral:rRNA from 1 species
AGUGAACGCUGGCGGUAGGCCUAACACAUGCAAGUCGAACGGCAGCACAGUAAUAGCUUGCUCUUACGGGUGGCGAGUGGCGGACGGGUGAGGAAUACAUCCGAAUCUACUUUUUCGUACGGGAUAACGUAGGGGAACUUACGCUAAUACCGCAUACGACCUACGGGUGAAAGCAUCGGAUCUUCGGACCUUGCGCGAUUGAAUGACGCGAUGUCGGAUUAGCUAGUUGGCGGGGUAAAGGCCCACCAAGGCGACGAUCCGUAGCUGGUCUGAGAGGAUGAUCAGCCACACUGGAACUGAGACACGGUCCAGACUCCUACGGGAGGCAGCAGUGGGGAAUAUUGGACAAUGGGCGCAAGCCUGAUCCAGCCAUACCGCGUGGGUGAAGAAGGCCUUCGGGUUGUAAAGCCCUUUUGUUGGGAAAGAAAAGCAGCAGGUUAAUACCCCGCUGUUCUGACGGUACCCAAAGAAUAAGCACCGGCUAACUUCGUG